rnacentral:rRNA from 1 species
CCUACGGGUGGCUGCAGUGGGGAAUUUUGGACAAUGGGCGCAAGCCUGAUCCAGCCAUGCCGCGUGGGUGAAGAAGGCCUUCGGGUUGUAAAGCCCUUUCGGCCGGGAAGAAAUCGUGCGGGCGAACAGUCUGCAUGGAUGACGGUACCGGAAGAAGAAGCACCGGCUAACUACGUGCCAGCAGCCGCGGUAAUACGUAGGGUGCGAGCGUUAAUCGGAAUUGUGCGGCGGACGCCAUGAGAAGGCGGCGAAAUCCCCGGGCUUAACCUGGGAACUGCGGUUGUGACUGUGGUGCUAGAGUACGGCAGAGGGAGGUGGAAUUCCUGGUGUAGCAGUGAAAUGCGUAGAGAUCAGGAGGAACACCGAUGGCGAAGGCAGCCUCCUGGGCUGAUACUGACGCUCAUGCACGAAAGCGUGGGGAGCAAACAGGAUUAGAUACCCCUGUAGUC